GAUGAACGCUGGCGGCGUGCCUAAUACAUGCAAGUCGAGCGAACAGACGAGGUGCUUGCUCCUCUGACGUUAGCGGCGGACGGGUGAGUAACACGUGGAUAACCUACCUCUAAGACUGGGAUAACUUCGGGAAACCGGAGCUAAUACCGGAUAAUAUAUUGAACCGCAUGGUUCAAUAGUGAAAGACGGUUUUGCUGUCACUUAUAGAUGGAUCCGCGCCGCAUUAGCUAGUUGGUAAGGUAACGGCUUACCAAGGCAACGAUGCGUAGCCGACCUGAGAGGGUGAUCGGCCACACUGGAACUGAGACACGGUCCAGACUCCUACGGGAGGCAGCAGUAGGGAAUCUUGCGCAAUGGGCGAAAGCUUGACGGAGCAACGCCGCGUGAGUGAUGAAGGUCUUCGGAUCGUAAAACUCUGUUAGUAGGGAAGAACAAAUGUGUAAGUAACUAUGCACGUCUUGACGGUACCUAAUCAGAAAGCCACGGCUAACUACGUG
rnacentral:rRNA from 1 species